rnacentral:lncRNA from 1 species
GGCUGUGGUGCAAUGGGCAAUGGGGCCUGCAUGUUUGCGUCACAGUUCGGUCCCAGGUUCGAUUCCUGGUGAAGGUUGCGUAGAUUUAUUAAAUAAAGUAGUACGGGGGCGGCCACGCUUGCAAUAGAGACGCUUGCUAUAAAAAGCAGCGACAACAAAAAUAGAAAAACUGUCAAAUAAAAUGUAAAAAAAUAGUAAAACUGUGAAACAGAAAAAAAUAAUAAAAAUAAAGUAAAAAAAAAUUGUUUUUUUUCAAGAA